AAAACUAUCGCGUCGCCAGGGAGGGGGAUACUCGCCAUGGAUGAAUCCAACGCCACCUGCGGCAAAAGACUCGCAUCAAUUGGGCUGGAGAACACAGAGGCAAACCGACAAGCUUACAGGACCCUCCUUGUCUCAGCUCCUGGUCUGGGCCAGUACAUCUCUGGGGCAAUCCUGUUCGAGGAAACUCUCUACCAGUCAACUACGGAUGGUAAGAAGAUGGUCGAUGUUCUUGUUGAGCAAAAGAUAGCGCCAGGGAUCAAAGUUGACAAGGUGAGCACUCGAUCUUUGGCAACACGUAUGGAAUUGUCAUAUUGUUUUACUCACAUCUAGGAUUGUGUUCUACUUCCAUCCUGUUUGUGUUAUCAGGGUCUGGUGCCACUUACUGGCUCAAAUGAUGAAUCAUGGUGCCAAGGAUUGGAUGGCCUCGCGUCGCGAUGUGCAGCAUACUAUCAACAGGGAGCUCGCUUUGCUAAAUGGUAAGAUACACUGUUGCAUCCUGGAAUUUAAUUGUGUGCAUGUUUGGAGGCCAUGCUUAUGUCCGGCUUGUUGCAGGCGUACAGUGGUCAGCAUUCCAAACGGCCCAUCAGCUCUCGCAGUGAAGGAAGCUGCUUGGGGUCUGGCUCGAUACGCUGCCAUUGCUCAAGUACAUCUCCUUCACUUCCAUUCUUUCAUCAUUAUAGGAUCAGUGAAUACAACUCCUUUCAGUAUGCACACGCUACGAGCAGAAAGCAGCCUCGACUAAUCUUCUCGUCUUGUUUGCAGGACAAUGGCCUGGUUCCAAUUGUGGAGCCUGAGAUACUGCUCGACGGAGAGCACGGGAUCGAUAGGACGUUUGAGGUCGCACAGAAAGUUUGGGCUGAGGUCUUCUUUUACUUGGCUGAGAACAACGUCAUGUUCGAAGGUAUCCUCCUCAAGCCAAGCAUGGUCACCCCCGGCGCCGAGUGCAAAGAGAAGGCCACACCGGAGCAGGUCGCCGACUACACCCUGAAGCUCCUGCACAGAAGAGUCCCAUCUGCUGUUCCUGGCAUUAUGGUACGCAGCACCACCAUGAUCAUCUUGUUCGCUUCUCUCAUAGAGGUGAUGAUUGAUGCCCAUUCACCUGUAAAUGUUUUGGCGAACAGUUCCUCUCCGGUGGACAGUCGGAAGUGGAGGCAACCCUGAACCUGAAUGCCAUGAACCAGAGCCCCAACCCAUGGCACGUCUCCUUCUCUUACGCGAGAGCUCUGCAGAACACCUGCCUGAAGACAUGGGGAGGAAGACCGGAGAACGUGAAGGCUGCGCAGGAUGUGCUCCUAGUCCGGGCCAAGGCCAACUCGCUCGCUCAGCUCGGGAAGUACUCAGCCGAGGGCGAAGCUGCAGAAGCUAAAGAGGGGAUGUACGUCAAGAACUACAGCUACUGAGAACCCAGCAAAGCAUGAUAUCUUCUAUAUCUCUGUGGAUUUUGAUUACCGGUCUGUUCAAGGAAGACGACGAUCGAUGUAGUUGAAUGUUUAAGCCUGCAUAAGACUGCAUUUGGUAUUAAGUAUCGAUUGAAUACAGCUUGUUAGCUGCGUCUGUUGCAAACUCUAUUACAUGCUACACAAGUAUCAGUGGCUUUGACGUGAAGUGCGUCAAAAAGAACGACAAAACAUGCGAACAUUAUGAUUGAUUGGUACGAGUUCCUCAUCAAUCGCAAAGGUAUCCAAGGUUGCAUUGCGAUAAUAAUACAAGUACACAUAUGCAUGUCAUCUUACGAGGUACAUGUAACCAGGCUCACCGACCAACAUUACCACGUGCACGUACCCAUACUCACCGACCAAAUUAGUGCUGCCAUGCUCGUAAAGAAGUACAACAUACGAACAAUACAGGAGAGAUGUGCGAUCGAGUUUCCCGCCUUAUCGCAACUCAAUCGGCGGUUCCCGCCAUCACAGCCAAUCGCGAGAGGAGCUUCCAAAACAAAUCAUUCACCGUCCAUUCUUAUAUAUAGGAAUCCCGUGUGUCUCAUCUUUGCCGUUCCCUCCUCGCGAUCGUUUGAAAACGAGAAGAGGGCUUGCCAUGGAGAUGCGCGAGGAGAAGGGAGACAUGGGAGGGUGGGAGACCCCCAAGCGAGGGGACUGCCGGAUCCCGGUGGCGAUCCGUUGCCCUCCGCCGCCGAGGAAGAAGAAGAGGUGUCCCACCGCCGCGGGGGCGCUCGGGAAGCGGCGGGGUCCGCCCAGGAAUGGUUACUUCCACCCGCCGGACCUUGAGGCUCUGUUCGCGCUGGCGUCGAGGAGAGAGGCUUGCGCUUGAUAAGUCCGGAGAGGAUGUAGUGAGUUAGGGUUUGUUUCGCUGUCAGGAGUAACCUUCACCUGUAUGUAUACUCCUUUUUCCUUUUGCUUGGUAUUGGUAGGAUAGUAGCAGCUAAGGUGUUUGUUGAUUUCUCUGUUGCUAUUGGGCUCUUCACUCAUGGUUUGUUGCUCAUUGAUCUUCUUGUUCUGUAUAUACUGUUUCUUUGUUUGGACUGAUCUGAAGCAAACUUUCUUAUGUAUCAUCAAGCUAAUUAUUAUUCUUAAUUACUUACAUUUAGUAUUUCUAUCUUUAUAUUUUUUUUAAAUUAUAUUAAGAAUUUUAUAUUUUUUUUAAAUUAUAUUAAGAAUUUUAUAUUUAUAAAAAGAAAAAAAUUUAUUUUAUUUUUUUACGUCAUAAAUUCUAUUGACGAAAAUAUCAUAGGAUUUAAUAUUACUAAUUCUGUUUCAUUUUGAUUUAUCAUGAUAUUUAAUAUAAAAAAGAAAAUUAAAUAUUUUAUUUUUUAUUUAUUAAUAUAAAAAUAACACCCCCAUCAGUGUCUCUAAAUUAUUCUUAUGGCCCUGUAAUUUUGAUGAGAGUUAGAUGAGGGCAAUUCCAGAAGCUUCGCAACCACCUGAGGCCAUGCCACCCCUUUCGCCUCGCCAGACGCUUUCGGCUUCUCUUCCUCCGGUUUAAGCGAAGUCGGGGAAGGAAUGGAGAGUCUCUCAGGGUUUCGUUGAUCGUCGUGGCGAUGUCCACCUUCAGCGGCGACGAAACCGUCCUCGUCUUCUCCUGUGAGCUCCCGAUUCCUCCCCCUUCCCUUUCACUCCAUCGAAACUCUUGGUGGUUUCACCUUCUGGUGUCGUUUGCAGGCAAGGGGGCGGCGUACGGGAUGGCGUCCAUGGGCGUGACGCGACUGGAGCCCGUGAUGAAGUCGAUCAUGCUCGUGGUCAGUGCUCGGGAUCUACGGAUUGAUUAUCGCUGUGAUCAUAAGCACCAGGAACAACCCACAAGGCGAAGUCGUAUUACCUCUUUGAUGGCUAUGCUCAUCUCUUCUCUGGGCUUGCUGGUUCGUCUGCGGGCAUGGCGAUCGGCAUCGUCGGCGACGCUGGUGUUCGGUAUAACUCUUUAGAUCUCUCUCUUUAUAUAUAUUUCUCUAUACACAUACACAUAUACACCUUUCAAUUGCCGAACUACUCAUGGAUUGAAUGUGAUUCAUGAUUCUUCUUGGUGAAGUUUGACUCGUUACUAAAGUUAGAUAUCCCAAGGCACUUGUAUUGAAAUCUGAAUUGUCACAUUCGUAUCUGUUGCUGAAUAAUUGACUAGAUAAUUUGAUGUGGCUGAGUCAUUAUUCUGAUGAUGCCUGUACUCUUUUGUUUCUUGCUUUCCUUUGUUAUACAAGUGAUUACUUUAUGUUGGAUUCAGCUUUCUUUGAGUGAAAUGGACAAUGGACAAUAAGGAGACUAAGGAGCCAUGCUGGUAGAUUAUGGUUUAAGCUUAUGGGAAGCUUUUCUUUUUUGAUGAAUCACAAUAUGUGAUUGAAUUUUUAUGUUUCUUGUUGUCUUGGAAUAGUAUUUUCUUUAUGAUUGAGAAAUUUUAGUCCAUUCGAGCUCCUGUCAGGGUUGUCAAUUAAUGUGAUAUAUAUAUAUAUAUAUAUAUAUAUAUAUAUAUAUAUAUAUAUAUAUAUAUAUAUAUAUAUAUAUAUAUAUAUAUAUAUCAUCUAUCUUUGACCACUUCCAUUGCAUACUUGGUUUAUUGCUUCAUUGCUUUUCUUUGUGUUAGAGUAAUUUAUCCUUUAAAAGAUGUAUACAAUGUAUAUCUGUGUAGCAAUUGACUAAAAUUAUCCGAUUCAUGUAAUUGUGAUUUUUUACAUUUUCUUUCUAUGGUCAAAAUAUCUAUGGUUUACUAGAUUAAAUAAAACAUGUGUGAAAUCUGAAAUGCUUAUGCAGUGGAAAACUAAACUGGAUUAAUGGUUAGUAUGUCAAACAAUUCUUGGAGAACUAAAGGGGAUUCUGAUUGUGUAUACUCCAUUGGAUCUUGUUUCUUAUGGUUAUCUCGACAAGUUGCAACUUAGGUUUCUGAUUACAAGAAAAAAUGUGUUAAAUGAUCUUGUAGCCUGAUGCAAGUCUCGAUGCUUUGCCGGAUAUUGUCUUUGAACAAAGAAAAAUAUCUUUAUCAUAAAAAAUCAUAAGCAUGUCUCAGAAAUUUGUCUUUGUUGGCAAAGUGGGUAGUCACAUAGUUUGUCACACUAUCGUGUCUCAAUUCUAGCAUUGACAAAUUGGAUAAUAUCCAUAUGAACAUAAGGUCAAUGUUUUGUGCAACGUAAACCCUUUGUAGCAUGCCAUUGUAAGCCUAUGAUUCUAGAAAGUUACCAUGCUUUAUUCUUUUGGCCCUGAACUUUAGUCAAAGCUCUUUGUGGGCAAGAUUCUUAUUGGACGAACUAAAAAAAAAA
rnacentral:lncRNA from 1 species